UACAGAGGGGGCAAGCGUUGUUCGGAAUUACUGGGCGUAAAGGGCGCGUAGGCGGCCUGCUAAGUCGAACGUGAAAUCCCCGGGCUCAACCCGGGAACUGCGUCCGAUACUGGUAGGCUUGAAUUCGGGAGAGGGAUGCGGAAUUCCAGGUGUAGCGGUGAAAUGCGUAGAUAUCUGGAGGAACACCGGUGGCGAAGGCGGCAUCCUGGACCGACAUUGACGCUGAGGAGCGAAAGCGUGGGGAGCGAACAGG
rnacentral:rRNA from 1 species